UGGGUCUCAGGAUGCAGUGAGUAGCUGAUGUCAUGGUUCAGCAGGCUGUCAGUGGCCUGGGACUGUCCUGCAUGACUUUUGCUUCUGCUGUGUUAUCCAGCCUCAAUUCUGCCUACUUUUUAUCCUGCAUGGCUUGGAACUGGAAUCUGUCAUCACUGGCCUCUGCUUGGUGUUUGUUUCAGGAUCAUUACAGAUUUACACCUGCUGAGAUUCUGCUCCUGUGUGUCUUAUCUUCACAAAUACUCCUCUGUAUGCUUAACUUGUUGGAAGGAAAGAGUAAGCAGCAUGGAAGAGAUGCAUGCUACAGCUGUUUUAAAAAAAACAAAACAAAAAC
rnacentral:lncRNA from 1 species